rnacentral:ribozyme from 1 species
CCCAGUUCUCUGCUAAUAAGGAUGGAGAAUCCGAGACUCCUUUUGGGGUCCCACAGACUCUCUUAGUCAACUCCUAUUCCCUCAUGUCCUCGUCGUGUAGAGUGGUAACUUGGGUACAUUCCUAACUCUUUUGGAGGAUGGUGGAGCAUGGUUGAAGAUAACUUCCAAAUCAUGAUCGAAAGAA